rfam:Ovis aries breed Texel chromosome 4, whole genome shotgun sequence.
UCCCUGGUGGCUCAGACUGUAAAGUGUCUGUCUACGAUGCAGGAGACCCAGGUUCGAUCCCUGGGUCGGGAA